AGGAGAUGGCUGCGAAUGAGAACAGCCUUGCCAACCACAGCUGCUUACCAGAGGAUCUCAGCCUCUAGCAAGCCUCCUUCUCUCUACCCCUUGAAGCCCUGCAAUGGCGACGCUUCCAUGACAGUGGGAUGCCUGAUAAAGAACUACUUCCCUGAUCCGGUGACUGUGACCUGGUACUCAGACUCCCUGAACAUGAGCACCAGGAACUUCCCUGCCCUCGGCUCUGAGCUCAACGCCAUCACCACCACCAGCCAAGUGACCGGCUGCGGCAAGUCAGCCAAGUACUUCACUUGCCACGUGACACACGCUCCAACCUCAUUCGACAAGAAUGUGACCAUCCCAUGUGUCAACAUCACUAAGCCCACCUUGAAGCUACUCCAUUCAGCUUGUGAGUCCGAAGCAUUCCACCCCACCAUCCAGUUGUACUGCUUCAUUUAUGACCACAUCCUAAACGAUGUCACUGUCAGCUGGCUAAAGAAUGGAGAGAAGAUGCGUGAUACAUUUGCACAAAAUGUCCUAAUCAAGAAGGAAGGCAAACUAGCCUCUACCUACAGUCUACUCAAUAUCACCCAGCACGAAUGGCUAUCUGGAAGCAACUUCACCUGCAACGUCAUGUCCCAAGGCAUGAACUAUGAGGCCUACACUCAGAGAUGCUCAGACGAUGCGCCACGGGGUGUGAAUACCUACCUAAUCCCACCCAGCCCCCUAGACCUGUAUGAAAAGAUGUCUCCAAAGCUUACCUGUCUGGUGGUGGACCUAGAAAGUGAGGAAAAUGUCAUCGUGACAUGGGCCCAAGAGCGCAAGAGGUUGCCUGCAGGCUCAGCAUUCCAGAAGUCCACCAAGCACCGGAAUGCCACAACCAGUAUCACCUCCACCCUGUCAGUGGAUGCCAAGGACUGGAUUGAUGGCAUAGGCUAUAAGUGCAUAGUAACCCACCCUGACUUUCCCAGGCCCAUUGUGCGUUCCAUCACCAAGGCCCAAGGCAAGCGCUCAGCCCCCGAGGUAUAUGUGUUCCCACCCCCAGAGGAGGAGAGCAAGGACAAACGCACACUCACCUGCUUGAUCCAGAACUUCUUCCCUGAGGAUAUCUCUGUGCAGUGGCUGCAGGAUGGCAAGAUCACAAACAGUCAUCACAGUACCACGACGCCUCUAAAGUCCAAUGGCUCCAAUCAAGGUUUCUUCAUCUUCAGCCGCCUGGAGAUCACCAAGGCACUCUGGACACCGGGGAAACAGUUCACCUGCCGAGUGAUCCACGAAGCACUUCGGGAGCCCAGGAAGCUGGAUAAAACAAUAUCCAAGAGCCCUGGUAAUGCCUCCCUCCGUUCCUCCCAGGCCUCAGUGUAGCUGUGGUGGGGAAGGUGGAUGGCAGACAUCCCCUCGCUGUUGUAACACCAGGAAGCUAUCCCAAUAAACACUCAGUGCCUGAUUAGA